rnacentral:rRNA from 1 species
UGGGCGCAAGCCUGAUCCAGCCAUGCCGCGUGAGUGAUGAAGGCCUUCGGGUUGUAAAGCUCUUUUACCCGGGAAGAUAAUGACGGUACCCGGAGAAUAAGCUCCGGCUAACUCCGUGCCAGCAGCCGCGGUAAUACGGAGGGAGCUAGCGUUGUUCGGAAUUACUGGGCGUAAAGCGCGCGUAGGCGGUUACUCAAGUCAGAGGUGAAAGCCCGGGGCUCAACUCCGGAACUGCCUUUGAGACUGGCUCACUAGAAUCUUGGAGAGGCGAGUGGAAUUCCGAGUGUAGAGGUGAAAUUCGUAGAUAUUCGGAGGAACACCAGUGGCGAAGGCGACUCGCUGGAC